rnacentral:rRNA from 1 species
UACGAAGGGGGCUAGCGUUGUUCGGAAUCACUGGGCGUAAAGCGCACGCAGGCGGAUCGUUAAGUCAGGGGUGAAAUCCCGAGGCUCAACCUCGGAACUGCCUUUGAUACUGGCGAUCUUUGAGUCCGGGAGAGGUGAGUGGAACUCCGAGUGUAGAGGUGAAAUUCGUAGAUAUUCGGAGGAACACCAGUGGCGAAGGCGGCUUCCUGGCCCGAAUCUGACGCUGAGGUGCGAAAGCGUGGGGAGCGAUCCGG